GACGAACACUGGCGGCGUGCUUAACACAUGCAAGUCGAACGGGAAGGCCCUGCUUUUGUGGGGUGCUCGAGUGGCGAACGGGUGAGUAACACGUGAGUAACCUGCCCUUGACUUUGGGAUAACUUCAGGAAACUGGGGCUAAUACCGGAUAGGAGCUCCUGCUGCAUGGUGGGGGUUGGAAAGUUUCGGCGGUUGGGGAUGGACUCGCGGCUUAUCAGCUUGUUGGUGGGGUAGUGGCUUACCAAGGCUUUGACGGGUAGCCGGCCUGAGAGGGUGACCGGCCACAUUGGGACUGAGAUACGGCCCAGACUACUACGGGAGGCAGCAGUGGGGAAUAUUGCACAAUGGGCGGAAGCCUGAUGCAGCAACGCCGCGUGCGGGAUGACGGCCUUCGGGUUGUAAACCGCUUUCGCCUGUGACGAAGCGUGAGUGACGGUAAUGGGUAAAGAAGCACCGGCUAACUACGUG
rnacentral:rRNA from 1 species